CCUUCAUGCGGCGGUAGCUGGGCAGCGAAUCUAACCACCGUGUACCCAGCCCAGACCCGUAUUCCGGCUGCGGACGCCCCCCUUUCGUCGCCCUCAAACACGUCACCGUUUACUACGGCUCCAGCCGGCACCUCCCUCCGAGCGGCCGGUCUCGUCGGCCUCGUUCCUCCGUCCCAGCCGGUACCUCCUUCCGGGUGACCGGCCUCGUCAUCCUCGUUGAUGUCUGCGACCAGUCGGGCUACGUAGCGGAGUCGGGGCGGAGGAGAUGACGCCGGGGGUACCAGCUCUCCCCGUCAACGCGGCAUGGACCGCUGCUCAAGUCGCCGGCGGCGGAGGAGAGGAGAGACUUAGGUCACGGAUACCCAAGAGGAGCCAACCUAACAAGUAGGAAGAAGCGGCCACCACACGAACAGACAACGUUAUUGAAAACACGCGACCUACUUGUGACGACCAACUCCAAACAAAGAAGGACAACAGAGGACGUAGGUGGUAACGUAGCAAGACGGUAACGGUAACUCCAAGCUGCUAGACGAUCCAACAACGUAGAUGUUUAGACACGACGAUAAGUUCUAAUGAACAGUAAAAGACGUAUUAGUUGAACAGUUCCUCACCACAGUUACCUUCGACACUGUCAGUAAGACCACUGUAUACGUGUAGUCCAGCCGUGGCGUUAACAUUGACCCGUCUUACCUACUGAUCGGUACCUGUCCGAGCCUCGGGAGACGCUUGUCCUUCUACGAUUUAUUCGACCAAUCGAGACCCCGUUUUCCAGUCGUUUAGACGAACCGACAAGGAGGGUUCCACUACUCUCUAAAGAACAACGUCUCAUGUACGGAUCUUUCUGUAUAGAAGGUGAAAUACAAUUGACGAACACUCGUCCGGUUAUGAAAUGUUUAAAAUGAUGUCGUCGUUCCUGUGAUACGAAACUUAUCAACUCGGCGGGAGACAAAAAGUAGGUACCCGUCUCAUCUACCGCCACGUCGCCGAGUCCUACAGUUCUAUGUAAAUAGAAGGACACGCAUUGACUACAGAUCGUAACGACUUUUGUGGAAAUACUCUCGACCACAGGUGUGGAAGUAGUAUCGACCACAGGUGUACAAGUAGUCUCUAGCACAGGUGCCGAAGUCGCCUCGACGAGAGGUGUGAAAGUAGUCUCGAUUACAAGUGCCCUAGUAGGUACGCUCGUGACCGCCUCGAUGCACAAUGUUUUUCUCCGGUGCCACAGGGCGGCCAUCGUUUACUUAACCUCCUAACUCUCAUCCGACUCGACACUCCCUCUUUUUACCACCUAAGUAAACGUGACCGUGCGGGUGGAAACUGUCACAUCGAGGCGGUGAUGUACGCUCGAGGGGAGUACGAGUCAACACCACCUUCGGAUUUUGUUGUAUCUAAUAGUUAGUUGUGUCUGAUUAGUUCAGUGCAAUGACACUGCUACACAUUUAGACGGUCUCCAAAACUUACCCUGAAAUGUGGUGGUUUAAUCUUACACAUGUUCUGUGGUAAAAAGCUGAUUUCCUCUAAUACAAAUAAUAUUAUACAUGAACGGGUGUCACCAGAAAAUAGUAGCCCCGCUGUUCGG
rnacentral:rRNA from 1 species